CCCCUCUACUCAUCUCCUACACGUGCUCACCCAUCAUCUCCGCUGCACGGAAUGGCUAAUCUCUCCAAUAAUUCCCUCCCCCCUCACUGUUAAUAGAGGAGAGUACCCUCAACCAGAGCUGAUAGAAGAUCACGAGCUCCACCAACUUCUCUUCAAGGAAUGGAAGAUCGCUCCUUCAAACCCACACUCCCCCGCGAUUCCCGCGGCUCGCUCGAAGUCUUCAACCCGACCGCGUCCCGGCCCAACCCGGCAUCCUCCUCCACGCGGCAACCCCCGCCAGCUCCACGUGUCCCCCACUACAGCACCCCCAGCGACGAUGCCGACGACAUCACCGCCCCAUGGCCGGCGCUUCCCCCGCCGCAGGCGGCAGCGGCGCCGCCGGCGGCUCUUCCGCACUCAGGAGACACCGGAUU
rnacentral:misc_RNA from 1 species